GAUGAACGCUGGCGGCGUGCUUAACACAUGCAAGUCGAACGGAAAGGCCCAAGCUUGCUUGGGUGCUCGAGUGGCGAACGGGUGAGUAACACGUGGGUGAUCUGCCCUGCACUUUGGGAUAAGCCUGGGAAACUGGGUCUAAUACCGGAUAGGACCAUCGUUUAGUGUCGGUGGUGGAAAGUUUUUCGGUGUGGGAUGAGCUCGCGGCCUAUCAGCUUGUUGGUGGGGUAAUGGCCUGCCAAGGCGUCGACGGGUAGCCGGCCUGAGAGGGUGUACGGCCACAUUGGGACUGAGAUACGGCCCAGACUCCUACGGGAGGCAGCAGUGGGGAAUAUUGCACAAUGGGCGCAAGCCUGAUGCAGCGACGCCGCGUGGGGGAUGACGGCCUUCGGGUUGUAAACUCCUUUCGCCAAGGACGAAGCGUUUUGUGACGGUACUUGGAGAAGAAGCACCGGCUAACUACGUG
rnacentral:rRNA from 1 species